ACGGGGCCCGCACAAGCGGUGGAGUAUGUGGUUUAAUUCGACGCAACGCGAAGAACCUUACCAGGGCUUGACAUCCUCUGACAACCCAAGAGAUUUGGGCGUUCUGCCUUCGGGUAGACAGAGAGACAGGUGGUGCAUGGUUGUCGUCAGCUCGUGUCGUGAGAUGUUGGGUUAAGUCCCGCAACGAGCGCAACCCUUAUCUUUAGUUGCCAUCAGGUAAUGCUGGGCACUCUAGAGAGACUGCCGGUGACAAACCGGAGGAAGGUGGGGAUGACGUCAAAUCAUCAUGCCCCUUAUGUCCUGGGCUACACACGUACUACAAUGGCCGGUACAAAGGGCGGCGAAGGGGUGACCCGGAGCAAAUCCCAGCAAAACCGGUCUCAGUUCGGAUUGUAGUCUGCAACUCGACUACAUGAAGUCGGAAUCGCUAGUAAUCGCAGGUCAGCAUACUGCGGUGAAUACGUUCCCGGGCCUU
rnacentral:rRNA from 1 species